AGUGAACGCUGGCGGUAGGCCUAACACAUGCAAGUCGAACGGCAGCACAGUAAGAGCUUGCUCUUACGGGUGGCGAGUGGCGGACGGGUGAGGAAUACAUCGGAAUCUACUUUUUCGUGGGGGAUAACGUAGGGAAACUUACGCUAAUACCGCAUACGACCUACGGGUGAAAGCAGGGGAUCUUCGGACCUUGCGCGAUUGAAUGAGCCGAUGUCGGAUUAGCUAGUUGGCGGGGUAAAGGCCCACCAAGGCGACGAUCCGUAGCUGGUCUGAGAGGAUGAUCAGCCACACUGGAACUGAGACACGGUCCAGACUCCUACGGGAGGCAGCAGUGGGGAAUAUUGGACAAAGGGCGCAAGCCUGAUCCAACCAUACCGCGUGGGUGAAGAAGGCCUUCGGGUUGUAAAGCCCUUUUGUUGGGAAAGAAAAGCAGCAGGUUAAUACCCCGCUGUUCUGACGGUACCCAAAGAAUAAGCACCGGCUAACUUCGUG
rnacentral:rRNA from 1 species